UGCAAGGAACAAGAGGGAACAAGAGG
rnacentral:piRNA from 1 species